rnacentral:tRNA from 1 species
GCCUUCGUGGUGUAAUGGUCAGCACACUGAGCUGGUAUUUCAGAGGUCCGCGGUUCGAUCCCCGGCGAAGACG